rnacentral:rRNA from 1 species
CAGUAGCCGCGGUAAUACGUAGGUCCCGAGCGUUGUCCGGAUUUAUUGGGCGUAAAGCGAGCGCAGGCGGUUAGAUAAGUCCGAAGUUAAAGGCUGUGGCUUAACCAUAGUACGCUUUGGAAACUGUUUAACUUGAGUGCAAGAGGGGAGAGUGGAAUUCCAUGUGUAGCGGUGAAAUGCGUAGAUAUAUGGAGGAACACCGGUGGCGAAAGCGGCUCUCUGGCUUGUAACUGACGCUGAGGCUCGAAAGCGUGGGGCGCAAACAGGAUUAGAUACCCCUGUAGUCCCUGUCUCUUAUACA